GCACAAGCGGUGGAUGAUGUGGAUUAAUUCGAUGCAACGCGAAAACCUUACCUACCCUUGACAUGUCCGGAAUCCCGAAGAGAUUUGGGAGUGCUCGCAAGAGAACCGGAACACAGGUGCUGCAUGGCUGUCGUCAGCUCGUGUCGUGAGAUGUUGGGUUAAGUCCCGCAACGAGCGCAACCCUUGUCAUUAGUUGCCAUCAUUUGGUUGGGCACUCUAAUGAGACUGCCGGUGACAAACCGGAGGAAGGUGGGGAUGACGUCAAGUCCUCAUGGCCCUUAUGGGUAGGGCUUCACACGUCAUACAAUGGUCGGUACAGAGGGUUGCCAACCCGCGAGGGGGAGCUAAUCCCACAAAGCCGAUCGUAGUCCGGAUCGCAGUCUGCAACUCGACUGCGUGAAGUCGGAAUCGCUAGUAAUCGUGGAUUAGCAUGUCACGGUGAAUACGUUCCCGGGUCUU
rnacentral:rRNA from 1 species